rnacentral:rRNA from 1 species
GACGAACGCUGGCGGCGUGCUUAACACAUGCAAGUCGAACGGAAAGGCCCUGCUUUUGUGGGGUGCUCGAGUGGCGAACGGGUGAGUAACACGCGAGUAACCUGUCCUUGACUUUGGGAUAACUUCAGGAAACUGGGGCGAAUACCGGAUAGGAGCUCCUGAUGCAUAGUGGGGGUUGGAAAGAUUCGGCUGUUGGGGAUGGAAUCGAGGCUUAUCGGCUUGUUGGGGGAGUAGGUGCUUUCCAAGUCUUUCACGGGUACGCGGCCUGAGCGGGCGACCGGGUUCAUUGGGACUACGAGACGGCCCAGACUCGUACGGGAGGCAGUAGUGGGGAACAUUGCACAAUGAGCGGACGCCUGAUGCAGCAGCGCCGCGUUCGGGAUGCCGUCCUUCGGGUUGUAAACCACUUUCGCCUUUAACGAGGCCUGAGUGACGGUAAUGGGUCAAGAAGCACCGGCUAACUACGUG